rnacentral:pre_miRNA from 1 species
ACCUGGCCAGGCAUUCCAACUGUCAAACUUACAAAGCUUUCUCGACAAUUGGUAUCCCUGUCAAGGUCU